rnacentral:misc_RNA from 1 species
AACUUUUGGCAAUGGAUCUCUUGGCUCUCGCAUCGAUGAAGAACGCAGCGAAAUGCGAUAAGUAAUGUGAAUUGCAGAUUUUCAGGAAAUCAUCGAAUCUUUGAACGCACCUUCCGCUCCUUGGUAUUCCGAGGAGCAUGCCUGUUUGAGUAUCAUUAACUUCUCAACUCCAAGUGUUUCACGACCUUUCGGAGUUUGGACUUGGAGGUGCCGUUCGUGUACGGUCAGCUCCUCUCAAAUGCAUCGGCUGAUUUGAACCUUUAGGGUGCCGGACGUCAGUGUGCUAACCCUGUUGCGCUGUCGUGCCGCCCUCGGAGUCUGUUUAUAAUGGCCUUCUCACAAAUCGUCUGCCAACUUGAUCUCAAAUCGGGUAGGACUACCCGCUGAACUUAAGCAUAUCAAUAAGCGGAGGCU